CACCCACACCGGCCCUUUCUGGAUAUGACUGAGGACCGCAUAUCAACAGGAAAAGAGGCUGAGCAGAAUCUACCAAAUAGAAAGUGUGUAAGAAAAACAGUCACCUGAUGUGCCCACCAGACCAUCAGAUAGGAGAAACCUGCAAUCCAGCAGAUGGCGCCAAAGAAGAUGGCUGACGUGACCCAGACCAUCCCGUCAGUGCUGGGACGGUGAAAUGGCGAAAUGGUCCGACCCUGAACCCGACCCAGAGAACAGGCAGAACAUCCAUCACAGGAAGCGAACGUCCGGGUCAGAGGUCAAACCGGUCCUGCUAACGCUAUACAAAAUGUACCAACGUGGGCCUGCAUCUCUACAGCCGGGACCACAAUCUCUAGGCCAGAUUUUAUCAGCUCCCUUUCAAUCAAUAGCCAAGUUAGGAAUCUAGAAAGCAGUGUUUGGAUUCUAGCUGCUCUUUUGAGUACUGAAACACAGUGAAAAGCCGUGGAUACAGCGGCCCUCUACUGGA